rnacentral:lncRNA from 1 species
AAAGAUGCUCUCUCUACACCAUAAUAGAUUACUCAAUAGAUUGUUCAAAAUAUUAUUCUUUCUUUGCGACAAGAUAUCAAAAUUUGGAGAAUAAAUCAGCAAUGGUGGUGUCUCACACUCGCAAGAAAGUUAGCAAGGUAGUAGAUUGGUUGGCUCACCAAGCACUUUAUGAAGUUUUUUCUCUUGAGGAUGGAUGAUGUUCUUCAUGCUGAUCUACUUCAAAUUUUGCUGGUUGAUGCAUAUGGAGUUGGUUGUUACCGGCACCAUUAGAUCUAUGUAUAGCCCCUCCCUCUCUUCUCAUAGCGUACGAUGGAUUAGCCCAACGAAAAAAUGAUAGUCUAACUGUUACUUGGAGCAGGUCCAAUGAAUCAUGCCGAAUCCUACAAUGGAUAACAUGCCAUGUUACUCUUUGUAUUUCAUCAAUUCCUGAUUGCACAUUAUCC